rnacentral:rRNA from 1 species
CAAAGGCCCCAAAGGAAGCCACGGCUAACUCUGUGCCAGCAGCCGCGGUAAUACAGAGGUGGCAAGCGUUGUUCGGUAUUAUUGGGCGUAAAGAGCACGUAGGUGGUUCUGUAAGUCAGAUGUGAAAGCCUUCUGUUCAAAGGAAGAACGGCAUCUGAAACUACAGAUCUUGAGUGUAGGAGGGGAGAGUGGAACUUCUGGUGGAGCGGUGAAAUGCGUAGAUAUCAGAGGGAACGUCGGCGGCGAAAGCGACUCUCUGGCCUAUUACUGACACUGAGUGUGCGAAAGUUAGGGGAGCAAACGGGAUUAGAUACCCCGGUAGUCCUAACUGUAAA